UGGGGAAUAUUGCACAAUGGGCGCAAGCCUGAUGCAGCAACGCCGCGUGAGGGACGACGGCCUUCGGGUUGUAAACCUCUUUUAGCAGGGAAGAAGCGAAAGUGACGGUACCUGCAGAAAAAGCGCCGGCUAACUACGUG
rnacentral:rRNA from 2 species